rnacentral:rRNA from 1 species
UACGUAGGGGGCAAGCGUUGUCCGGAAUCAUUGGGCGUAAAGCGCGUGUAGGCGGUUCGAUAAGUCUGCUGUGAAAGUCCAGGGCUCAACCCUGGAAAGCCGGUGGAUACUGUCGGGCUAGAGUCCGGAAGAGGCGAGUGGAAUUCCUGGUGUAGCGGUGGAAUGCGCAGAUAUCAGGAGGAACACCGAUGGCGAAGGCAGCUCGCUGGGACGGUACUGACGCUGAGGCGCGAAAGCGUGGGGAGCGAACAGG